rnacentral:rRNA from 1 species
AGAAUACAACGACUGGCGGGCGUGCCUAACACAUGCAAGUACGCACGAGAAAGGGGAAGGCAAUACCCUCGAGUACAGUGGCGCACGGUGGAGUAACAUGUGAAUAAUCUACCUCCGAGUGGGGAAUAACUGAGAGAAAUCUUAGCUAAUACCGCAUAAUACCCACGGGUCAAAGCAGCAAUGCGCUUGGAGAGGAGUUCGCGGCAGAUUAGUUAGUUGGCGGGGUAAUGGCCCACCAAGACGAUGAUCUGUA